UGUUCUUUCUGUUUGACUGGGGAAGGCUUUAGUCCAGCCCGUGAAAGUCUCUAAAGAUGAAGAGGUAUCUGAAUCCCUUAUGAGAGGGCAUGGGGGAGAGUCCUCCCAUGAAUAGGCUGGAGGAGGGCCAGGGGGUUCAUUGCACCCUCAGGAUUUCAUUGACAGCAAAUUGGGCAGAAUUGAGAAAUGUACCAUUGAGCUGGGGCUAGGUCAGGCCUGUGAGAAAGAGGGUCGAUUAAGGCUUGUAAAGUUUCUGCCCCCAGGUGGGUAGCUUGAUGGAGAUUUCAGAGGAUUUUCCAUUGUGGAACCUUGGGGAAGAGGAUUAUUUUGAGAGUUUCGAGGCCAUCCCUCAGGAGUGAAGGCGACACCCAGUUUUAGUGCCUUCUGUAAUGUUUGGAGUAUGCUGGGGUUUUGGGGGGUCAGGUGAGGAAUGAGGGCACCUGGAGAGGAGCUGAGCUGCUGAUAUAGUUUGUUUGUGUGCAUAAUUAUCCCCCCUGGCAGGAUGCAAGUUCUCUUUCUGAGGAGCCUGACAGAGAAGGGUUUUGCUGCCUCUGUUGGGAGACAUGUCUUCUAGCAAGGUUGAAAUUUCAGGGGCGUGGUGAAUGGGGGUGUCGGGGCUGUGAGAGACCCUCUCUCCUUCCCACAGCUGUGAGGGCGUGCAUCACAUGACACACACACAGGCUGAGUCAGUGGGUAAGUCACUUGGGCCUUAUUCCAGUGCCCGGUUACAGAGCUAUGACAAGGGCUAUUAGUUCAGCUUUUUGAGCAGGACCUGAUUCUGUGGCGUUAGUGAGGCUAACUGUGGCACAGCCUGACACUCUCCUAACAAGAGCCUCCCGCCAUCAGUGCACCCGGACUUUGUGCACAGCGUCCUGUAGAUCAGCCCUAGCAGUGCAGGUAAGAUCAGCAGUUUCUACACAAGAAUGUCCACGAGAAGCCGUAGGUUUUACACAGAGUUCAGGAGUUUGCAAAGCAAGUGAUUGGCGCUUAUGAAUUCUAUGAUCUGAAAUCCAAUAGAAGGCCUUAGAAUUUAGAAUAUCCAAGAUCUGAUGGGGUGGGGUUAAAACCAUCAAGGUUUGUCCUAGAGUUAGUUUUGAGACUACUUGUACUAAGAGGGCUACGGCUGCUAAGCUCAUAAGCGGGGCGCCGUCCUGGGUACCAAGGGAAGGGUUUAAAAACUAUGCUACAGGGCACUUAGAGGGCCCAGAUCUUGGGCUAAAACUCCCAAAGCGAUUCCCCUUCGUUCAUGAACAUGCAAGAAGAAAGGCUUGGUCAGGUCUGGCAGGGCUGAGGCCGGGGCUGAGAGUCAAGCCUGCUUUGAAGUCUCUAGAGCACGCUUCAUGCUAUCAGUCCACGUGAGACGCUGCUCCUCAGCUCCUUGGAGAGUUUCUUAGGAAGCCUUGGCUGUUAAUCCGAAGGAAGGAGUCUCCUAGGCAAACCCGCCACACCCUCACAGGACCGAAGCUGCUCUUCAGUUCCUGGAGUUGUCACGUUUAAGAUAAGAUCUUAUAUUUUACAUUUUAAUUAAUUUCAUUAAUUUAAUUUAUUUUUGAGACUGAGUCUCACUCUGUUGCCCAGGCUGCAGUGCAGUGGCGCGAUCUCGGCACACUGCAACCCCCACCUCCCAGGUUCAAGUGACUCUCCUGCCUCAGCCUCCUGAGUAGCUGGGACUACAGACACACACCAUCAUGCCCAGCUAAUUUUUUUUGUAUUUUUAAUAGCGAUAGGGUUUCACCAUGUUGGCCAGGAUGGUCUUGAACUCCUGACCUCAAGUGCUCUGCCCACCCUGGCCUCCCAAAGUGCUGGAUUUAUAGGCAUGAGCCGCUGUGCUGGGCCUAAGAUAAGAUCUUUACAAGUGCUAGAGAGGCUCUUUGUGCUGCGAGUUAAGAUAAGACCCCAAAUGGAAUGCCCUGUGUGGAUGUUUUCACCUUAGAAGGGGACGCUUUGUACCGAUAAUCUGUAAGUUUGUUUGGUGCUAAUACUGUACUUUGGUCUGUAACAGCUUUGCUAGGACUACAGAUUAGCAGGUCAUCGACACACUGGAGGAGGCUGCUGUCUGGGAGAAGCAGUGAAGACAGGUGGUCUUUAACUAGGGCCCGUCUAAAAGGCGGGGGCUAUCUCUGAAUCCCUGGGGCAGAACUGUCCAAGUUAACUGUCAGUUAUUUAGGUAUGUGGGUCUUGCCAUUCAAAAGCAAACAAAAAUUGGCUGAGUGUAAAGGAAUGCAGAACAACACAUUCUUGAGAUGAAGAACUGUAAACCGAGCUGUGGAGGAGGGAAUCCGUCCUCCGGGAACGGGAUGGGGGUUUGGGGCAGUAGGGGCCGUGGCGGAGGGAAUCCGUCCGGGAACGGGGUGGGGGUUUGGGGCAGUAGGGGCCGUGGCAGAGGAAAUCCGUCUGGGAACGGGGUGGGGGUUUGGGGCAGUAGGGGCCGUGGCAGAGAAAUCCGUCCAAGAACAGGGUGAGGGUUUGGGGCAUUUGGGGCCGUGGCGGAGGGAAUCCGUCCGGGAACGGGGUGAGGGUUUGGGACAGCAGGGUGAAUCGGAAUAGCAGCUUCGGGAGCAACCAUUCCAAGGUAGGGCCCUCUGGUUUCUUCACAGCUAAGGUGGAGCGUUGCAAGGUGACCUGCAUGGGCGGAGGCAUCCGUGGGUUACCCGUUUUGGUUAUUGGGGGCUUCAGCCCUUCUCAUGCUUCUGGUUUCAAGGGCUACUGGUGGGUUCUGGAGAACUUACUGGGAUGUUUAAGCCAAGUGAUGACAGGAGCAGAUGAUACUCAACAGCCAGGAAUAGAAGUUUCCCAAACCUCAAAUGGCACGUGUUUUAGAAAGUGAGGUUCUACAGACUGUAGCAGCCCUUUUGGUGAUGUGUGAGUUAACACAGCUAGAAGGUGAAGCCUCAGCUAUAAAUUAGCUUGUAAUUUUGUUAAGUCAUGCUCUAUGAAUGGAACAGUGCAGCUUGGCAGGACUAAAAAGGACUGAGUAAAGGAAGAGCCUUCAUCUUACAAGGGAGUGGUGGCGUGAAACAGCCUCAGUGGGGCUUUCCAUCCAUGCCCGUGAGGGAAAUGGAGGCUCGGCACACUGGACCACAGUAAACGUUUAAAACUGAAUAACUGGCCCCGUAUCUCUGAGGAACAUUGCCUCUUGUUCAGCCUCAGAUUUCCCCAAGGCUCCUCCCCAGAGGUGGAAAGGCUAUGGGCCUGGACGGCCUCAUGGCCCCGUCUGUCACCUGGAGGAUGGCUUUCAGAGGCUAGGUCAUCACCCAGGGAGAGGGUGAGAGGUGCCAGUUCUUGCCCUCAUCCUGUUGGGUAGGUUGGCAAGGUUGUGGCUGUGAUGGCCAAGAGGAAGAGGUGCCCCUCCCCUCUUAGUGACCUUCUUGGUAGCAACGAGGACACGGUCCUGGAGGCGUCUUGUAACCCAGCGGUUUGAGACAUUGUUUAUGCCAGUGUCCUGGAUUCCUGCAACAGUGACAGGCCCCUGUUCUGUGAAUGUUACAGGGACAAGCCUUGGGGUUGUUCAGGAAUGGAAAAGAACCUGCCAAUACUGUCGCCGUGUCCUCCUCCAGUGGAGCCUCUCUUAUUUCUGAUGUUUCCUCUUGGUUACGGAAAACCGUAAAGGCUGCGUGCGGUAAAGCAGGGAAGGGAGUCUGUGGGCCCUGCUCUGAUUCUGGAGCUUUUGUCCGACGUCUUAGGGAAGCUUGACGUAAACCGUGAGGCCAGGAUGGCCUGGCCCUCAGCACCUCUGGAGUCUGAGUCUCCAGGUUUACACAUGGCCCACACCAGGCUUGCUUUGGAAACGGCAGGGUUCCCAGAUGGUUCCUGAGUGAUUUCUCAUGUUUAGAAAAAUUAACAGGUUUAUUAGAGGCUUUUUCACUCCUUCCAACAAGCAAGUCGUGACAUAACCUUGUCUGCCCCUGCCUCUGUCUGCGCCACUUCGGCAGCCUGGUAUUGCCAGUGGGUCCUGUGUUGGGGACAGAGUCUUCCCAGCUCUCGUUACGGUGAUGAGCAUGAACUUUAUCUGCCCCAGCUGGAGCUGAAGACCGUAUGUGUGAUUUUUCUUCGUGAGAACAAGUAAUUACUACCAUGAAUACGUCUCGCCAGGUUGAGCCAGAGGCAAUAUGGAAGCUGCAGAUUCUUGAAUGAACUUAGUAGGAUCCUGGCUAAAUGAACCCAGCUGGGAUUCGAGGAAGAUCAGACACUGGAAAAGGGACAUGAACUCACAUCGUUCCUACAUCUCCAUUGGCCAUCUUGUGGAGAGGAAGAACACGGGUUUGCUGAGGACUCUGUGCUGGUGGCAUCUGUGACUCCUGUAAUUUUUUGUGGGUCAAAAUUCGACCAGUUUUGAAGAAGUCAAUCCAACGGGGAGUGCAAUGGAACCGAAGAAUGAGUUGGGCCCAUGUUGGGUUUAGAUUGGGGAGUACAAGACUCCUGAGGUGUCCCCGAGGAACUUGGACCUCGCCCCUCCGGCUCCCUCUGUUUGGGGGUGCCCACCACAGCUGGAGGGCCUGCCCUUGCCUGGAUGACCCCUCCAGGCUGCUUCUCGAAUUCCUUCCUGAGCAAAGCCAGGAAUGUUCCCCGCAUGAGAAAGGAGAUAGCUGAACACAGGCACAGAGACAGCAGGGCGGUGCAGCUGCAUGGAGGACUCCGGGGCUGCCGGUGACCACCAGAACCUAGAGGAGGCCAGGAGGGACCCCCAUCCCCAGAGGCUUCAGAGAGCGUGGCCCUGAGAACACCUUCACUUUGGACUUCCGGCUUUCAGAAAUAAGCGAGAAAAGGCUUUUGCUGUUUGACGUAACCCAGCCUGAGGUCAUUUGCUGUUGCGGUCUCAGGAAGCGGAGCAGCACAUCCACGAGUUCCUCAUGCCUGCGUUCACGGAUGGCCUCUGUCAUCACCUGCAAGAGCCGGCUGCCACAGAGUGCCGGCCACCGUCCUCGCCAACUCCCGUCUCUCCAGGGCCCUCCAGCUUCAUGCUGGUCACUGGCCUGUGCCCAGCCUGUCAGAGUCGCCAGCAUCUCUUUGACACCCUCUCCUUGUUCCUUCCGCUCUGAAGCCUCCUAAGACUUUUGAGACUGAUCCAGCACGUGCACACAUGUGGGAAUGCUUCUUCGGCCACACCAACCUGCAGGAGGACACAAUUCUGAGGAAGAACUGGGCGCUGUGCGGAGCUCAGACCAUGGCAGGAACGCGCAGUGCCCCGUGGCCGCCCGCUCAGUGGCGGGGGCUGAGUGGCCGGAGGAAGGCAGGCAGGUGCCCACGGCAGCCCCAGCCCGUGCCUGUGCCUGUGAAAACUUUUAAAACACUCGACUCUUCAUAGAAAAACUUAGAAACAGCCCCUCAUGGCAGGCAAGGCACCAGCCCUGCCCGGUUCCGCCCUCCCGAGUGUGACCCUCAGCGAGGGCUCCAGCCCCAGCUGCUCUGCUGGACCUGGUGGUUCCGCAGGGGCCGGCACGAUCAUGCCAGUGAGAAGAGCGUCUCAUCAAGCUGGGUUUUCCUUCGUGUGCGGGCCGCGCCCACUCACGAGCCUCUCCACCUGGAAUUCCGCCCUGUGGAGGGGGAUGUCCACGCCCACACUGGCCUGCAUCUCAGGGAUUUUAUGAGCAUCGGCGGGUGUAACCUGCCACAGUGAAACCCGCCCAGUUGUCCCAUAGACGGAUGUUGAUGGUUUCUUUUGAAUAAACAUGGAAAUUGGCUCUCCCAGUCUUAAAACUUGAGAAAGCUACAUUUGUCUUAUCUGAAUUCUUUCCUCAGGAAACUGGCCCUCAGCCCUCCCAGGCAGUAGGAGGGAAUGGAGAUUCAAAGGUCACGGAUCUAGACAAAGAGGUGCCAGCGCCUUCCCCAUCGUGGCUGCCUGACCGGCCACCUGCUUCCUCCUGGCCAGCUCUUCUUCCUCACUCUCUAAUUCCUGUUUUCCUGCAUGUAGUUACAUUUCUGCCACGUAGACCUCUCGUUUCAGUUGAUCAGGGCAGUGGAUUUGAGACGCGUCUCCCACCUCUUUGGUUAAAACGUUCUUACUGGCUUUCUGUGUGGCGAGCGGCAGGACCGAGACCAGACUCCUGGCGUUUUGGUGACAGGAGAACACUCGGGAAACUACAGUACAAAUCAGCUCAGCCCCAAUGCCGAUGAGAAGCUGGCGGCCUUGCCCAUCUCAAGGAUUUUCCCAGGAAAAUCAAUUCGAUGCCUACUUGAGAUGUACUUUUAAAACUGAUUUUUAAAACAAUAAAAGUAUUAUGUGCUCAUUGUAAAUACUUUCAAAACAUCAACAUACAUUGUUAAAAAAAAAGUAAAUGACUUAAAACCCUCUAUUUAGAUGAGCCCACAUUUUUUGUUUUUGAGACAGGCUUGCUCUCUUGCCCAGGCUGGGGUGCAAUGGCUCAAUCUUGGCUUAUUGCAACCUCUGUCUCCCCAGUUCCAGCAACUCUCCUGCCUCAGCCUCCCACGUAGCUGGGACUACAGGCGCACGCCACCAUGCCCAGCAAAUUUUGUAUUUUUAGUAGAAACUGCAUUUCACCUUGUUGGCCAGGCUGGUCUUGAACUCCUGACCUUGUGAUCUACCUGCCUCAGCCUCCCAGAAUGCUGGGAUUACAGGUGGGAGCCACUGCGCCUGGCCAGAGCCCACUUUACGACGGUAGGUGUGUGUCACUUUCUCAUGUUUGUUUUGCCACGUUUUUGUCCAUAUAGUUGAAAUCAUUCAGUACACACUGAUAUUUGAAUGGAAAAAACACCAGAACUUUCUUGGGCCUCAGUGAAAGUAACAGAAAGGACAGACUGGUGCUGUGCCCUGUCUGGCCCUGGUGGGUUUAUGAGUCGCUACUAUUCCACAACAUUUUAAGAAGAAACAACUGAAGUCAUCUCAUAGCGCUUAAAGAGGCAGCCCGGCUACCCGUAUGCAUCGGAGUGAUGUAGGGAUGUUUUACCAAGACAUUUCCAGGGUGAAUCUCUUUUCUUUGGAUCUGCUGGGCACCAAGAGAGCAGUUUAUCAUCCUCGUGUAGGGAAGGGUGACAGGCAGGCCGGGUGCUCCCUCCUGGAUUUUGGGGGUCCCCACCACUCUGGUGGAUCGAGGGGCCACUAUGCCUAAGCUGUCUGUGCAGACAAGCGGUUCUGCUGGGCACCUGGUUUCCUCCCAGGGUUCUGGGACCCGCAGGGAUGCCAGGUGGAGGGUGCAGCACGACCAGUCCUGGCUCUGAGGCACUGAAGGGCUUCCCUGGUUGGGAUAUGUCACACGCGCCACCAUAACAUGGUGCUGGGGAACGGCGCGUCCCGUGGGCUGCACCCGGAGAGGACGCUGGAAGCUCGCGUGAGUUUCCUCCAUGCUCUGCCCCGCGCCUUGCCCAGGACCCACUCUGUGUGUGUGUGUGUGUGUGUGUGUGUGUGUGUGUGUGUCUUUUCCUUGUAACAAGUGGAAGACUAGUGAGUCCUCUUGGAGAAUCGUCAGCCUGGAACCUGGCAAACCUGUGCAGCCACCUGUUUCCAGCUCAGGCAGUAGUGUGGCUUCCCUCAGCUCCGUGGAUUCUCGGGUAGAGCCACGGUCAGAGCCCUGUGUGCUGACAACCUUCCUUUCCCGUCCUGGGAGAGUGCUGAGGUUUUGCUUCAUUAAUUCAUAUUUUUGUUUAUUCACCAUCAUUUAUUGAUGAUCUUCUCUGGAUCAAUAGUAGGAGAGUAAAUGGUCAUGAAUAAAACAGUGAAAACACACAGGCUCCAGUGUGCCGGCCCAGGAGUAGGGGCCCGAGCAACUGCACAGCAGGGCCUCAGAGGAGAGAUGAACAACCGCACAGCAGGGCCUCAGAGGAGAGAUGAACAACCACACAGCAGGACCACAGAGGAGAGGUGACAACCACACAGCAGGGCCUCAGAGGAGAGGUGAACAACCGCACAGCAGGACCUCAGAGGAGAGGUGACAACCACACAGCAGGGCCUCAGAGGAGAGAAGAACAACCGCACAGCAGGACCUCAGAGGAGAGAUGAACAACCGCACAGCAGGGCCUCAGAGGAGAGAUGAACAACCACACAGCAGGGCCUCAGAGGAGAAGUGAACAACCGCACAGCAGGGCCUCAGAGGAGAGGUGACAACCACACAGCAGGGCCUCAGAGGAGAGGUGACAACCGCACAGCAGGGCCUCAGAGGAGAGAUGAACAACCACACAGCAGGGCC